GCCCGGCUGGCGCAAUGGUAGCGCAUCAGACUUCUACUCUGAGGGAUCCAGGAUUGUGUGGGGGUGGGCG